GAUUUGGAACCACGUACUCUUGCGUCGGUGUGUGGCAGCAGGAUCGAGUUGAGAUCAUUGCCAACGAUUAGGUUUGUAGAUCUCGCUCCCGCUACUCAUCUUUCAGAUCUAUAAGACAAAAAGUUGCGGCUUGUGCUAAGAUCUUUGUAGGAGAUGGUGGCACAACCAGGGAUAUAUCGAUGAAAAUAACACUGUGAUUGACUAUAAUGGAUUGCUUAACAUUCACAUGCUUGCAUAUUAUAAUUCGAUAUAUAAGGGUGUUGCAACAGUAAUGGUAUCUUACUCAAGCUGGAAUGGAGUGAGAAUGCACGCCAACUGUGAUCUUGUAACUGGCUUCCUCAAGAACAAGCUCAAGUUCAAGGGGUUUGUUAUUUCCGAUUGGCAAGGGAUUGACAGGUCUUUUGUUAUAAGAUUUUGCAUCAUUUUGGCCAAUUUCACUUCUUCUGCAGAUGGAGUUGGCGUCUAUGUUUGAGUACGAUCUGAAGUAGUGGAGAAAUAAUAUCUAACAAUUUCCAUUUAAACUUGACACAUCACUCAAGCGGAUAAGAUCUAGAAAGGUCUGCCUUAAUCAAUUCACUAAUUUGCAGAACCAACUAAUGCAAAUGAUUUUGGGGUUACUUUGUAACAGAACCAACUAAUGCAAGAAUCUAUUUCAAUAUUGCACAAAAAGGAAAAGGCAUUGCAAGAGGAGAACAUGCAGCUAGCAAAUAAGGAAAGGGGAAGACCUUUAAUAACACUAGAGUGAAGCAUAGAGUGAAGGGGUCGAUUAAUAGAAGAAGAUGGGGUUUAGUAUGGAAGUUAAUCUAGUAGGAAAGACUCCUACCGUUGUUCAUAAAGUGAAUAGUAGGAAAGACUCCUACCGUUGUUCAUAAAGUGUUCGUGAUCUCAAUCGAAAGAUAGUAAGAGUUUUGAGCUACGCACCAAUGUAAGUUUAGCAAACUCUGUUUUUAGUUUUAGAACAAGUAAGCAUAAUUGUUUAAACUAAUGUAAUUAGAGUUUUUUUAGUUCCAAAUUUCUUCCUCUAGUAUGUUUGUAAUUUUUCAAAGUUGAUGGCCACAGUUAAACUCUUGUGCGUGCCUCAAGGGAGUUUGUGAUUAUGCUUGGUAAUUGAUUGGAGACCACCUUCUGAAAAGCGGCCAUCUUUUGCAAUUAUAAAAUUUAGUAUGCAUGUUGGGGUUUGGGAAUUGUUUAUAAUAUUAAUUGAGGACAAAAAAAGAAGUUAAGUUUGGGGGUUGUAAUUCCAUGGCAUAAAAUGCAUGAA